UACGUAGGGUGCGAGCGUUAAUCGGAAUUACUGGGCGUAAAGCGUGCGCAGGCGGCGCGUUUAAGACAGGUGUGAAAGCCCCGAGCUUAACUUGGGAAUUGCGCUUGUGACUGGCGUGCUGGAGUGUGGCAGAGGGAGGUGGAAUUCCACGUGUAGCAGUGAAAAUGCGUAGAGAUGUGGAGGAACACCGAUGGCGAAGGCAGCCUCCUGGGCCAGCACUGACGCUCAUGCACGAAAAGCGUGGGGAGCAAACAGG
rnacentral:rRNA from 1 species